UACGUAGGGGGGCAAGCGUUGUCCGGAUUUAUUGGGCGUAAAGAGCGUGUAGGCGGCCAGAUAGGUCUGUUGUGAAAACUCGAGGCUCAACCUCGAGACGCCGAUGGAAACCAUCUGGCUAGAGUCCGGAAGAGGAGAGUGGAAUUCCUGGUGUAGCGGUGAAAUGCGCAGAUAUCAGGAAGAACACCCGUGGCUAAGGCGGCUCUCUAGUACGGUACUGACGCUGAGACGCGAAAAGCGUGGGGAGCGAACAGG
rnacentral:rRNA from 1 species